AGGAGCACCGCGGGCGCGCGCUGCGAGCAGCGCCAGUCCGAGCUGCUGCGUCUUCAGGACCGUGCCAGGGGUCUGCAGGCAGGACUGUGUUCAUGAGAAUGCUGCAGACGCUUUAGUUUCUAACAGGGAAGUCUGGAUCAGAACACACUGAGAGUAAAGAGAGAUCCACAGGGGUCCAAUCUACCCUAGAUCAAUGCCCACCCAAAGAAGAAUAUCUCCAAGGGCUAGAUGUCUCCAGUCAGAUUGGAGAUGUCUAAUCCAGGCUACAGGUAACCUGCCUCAGGUCAUCAGGGGCAGCUAGGUGGCGCAGUGGAUAGAGCACUG